UACACGUCCCCAUCCAACCCAGCCUGGCCAGUCAGAGCCGGAUGGUGUGACUGGUCAGACAGGUGGUCCGGGGUGGCCAAUGAGAACCAGCUGCAGAACCAGAGCUUCUGCUACUAGGAACCUGAGAUCCUGCCUGCAAAUGAUGUCAGAGAUGAGAAAGUAAAACUAAGAGGUGGUUCCUGAUAACAUCAUCUGACAACUGGAGUAGUCCUGCCUUCGGUCCUUGAAGUCUUCAAUUACAUGGCCCAUGACUCCAAGCCCCGCCCCCAGGACCUUGCACAGACACGUGUCCAAUAGCUGCGCGCAGAGAAGCUCCGGGGCCAGGCCUAAGUAGAGGCGCGACGCCACCAGUCCCGCCAGGGCAGCACCAGACAU